rnacentral:rRNA from 1 species
UACGUAGGUGGCAAGCGUUGUCCGGAAUUAUUGGGCGUAAAGCGCGCGCAGGCGGAUCGGUCAGUCUGUCUUAAAAGUUCGGGGCUUAACCCCGUGAUGGGAUGGAAACUGCCAAUCUAGAGUAUCGGAGAGGAAAGUGGAAUUCCUAGUGUAGCGGUGAAAUGCGUAGAUAUUAGGAAGAACACCAGUGGCGAAGGCGACUUUCUGGACGAAAACUGACGCUGAGGCGCGAAAGCCAGGGGAGCGAACGGG